rnacentral:rRNA from 1 species
GAUGAACGCUGGCGGCGUGCUUAACACAUGCAAGUCGAACGAUGAAGCCCAGCUUGCUGGGUGUGUUAGUGGCGAACGGGUGAGUAACACGUGAGUAACCUGCCCUUAACUCUGGGAUAAGCCUGGGAAACUGGGUCUAAUACCGGAUAGGAGCGUCCCCCGCAUGGUGGGUGUUGGAAAGAUUUAUCGGUUUUGGAUGGACUCGCGGCCUAUCAGCUUGUUGGUGGGGUAAUGGCUCACCAAGGCGACGACGGGUAGCCGGCCUGAGAGGGUGACCGGCCACACUGGGACUGAGACACGGCCCAGACUCCUACGGGAGGCAGCAGUGGGGAAUAUUGCACAAUGGGCGCAAGCCUGAUGCAGCGACGCCGCGUGAGGGAUGACGGCCUUCGGGUUGUAAACCUCUUUCAGUAGGGAAGAAGCGAGAGUGACGGUACCUGCAGAAGAAGCACCGGCUAACUACGUG